rnacentral:rRNA from 1 species
UACGAAGGGGGCUAGCGUUGCUCGGAAUUACUGGGCGUAAAGGGCGCGUAGGCGGAUGUUUAAGUCGGGGGUGAAAGCCCGGGGCUCAACCUCGGAAUUGCCUUCGAUACUGGACAUCUUGAGUACGGGAGAGGUGAGUGGAACUCCGAGUGUAGAGGUGAAAUUCGUAGAUAUUCGGAAGAACACCAGUGGCGAAGGCGACUCACUGACCCGUUACUGACGCUGAGGCGCGAAAGCGUGGGGAGCAAACAGG